ACGCUCGACACCUACAGGAGGCAGCAUGGGGAAUAUUGCACAAUGGGGGGAACCCUGAUGCAGCGACGCCGCGUGAGGGAAGAAGGUUUUCGGAUUGUAAACCUCUGUCUUUGGUGACGAUAAUGACGGUAGCCAAAGAGGAAGCUACGGCUAACUACGUGCCAGCAGCCGCGGUAAUCUGAGCGGGCUGGCAAGGC
rnacentral:rRNA from 1 species